rnacentral:rRNA from 1 species
UACGGAGGGUGCGAGCGUUGUCCGGAAUCAUUGGGCGUAAAGGGCGCGUAGGUGGCCCGGUCAGUUCGUGGUGAAAGCGCGGGGCUCAACCCUGCGUCGGCCAUGAAUACUGCCGCGGCUGGAGCACUGUAGAGGCAGGCGGAAUUCCGGGUGUAGCGGUGGAAUGCGCAGAUAUCAGGAGGAACACCGGUGGCGAAGGCGGGUCUCUGGGCCGAUACUGACGCUGAGGAGCGAAAGCGUGGGGAGCAAACAGG